rnacentral:rRNA from 1 species
GCCUUCAGGAUGGGGACAACAGACGGAAACGACUGCUAAUACCGAAUAAGUUCCAAGAGCCGCAUGGCCCAUGGAAGAAAAGGUGGCCUCUACCUGUAAGCUAUCGCCUGAAGAGGGGUUUGCGUCUGAUUAGCUGGUUGGAGGGGUAACGGCCCACCAAGGCGACGAUCAGUAGCCGGUCUGAGAGGAUGAACGGCCACACUGGAACUGAGACACGGUCCAGACUCCUACGGGAGGCAGCAGUGGGGAAUCUUCCGCAAUGGGCGAAAGCCUGACGGAGCAACGCCGCGUGAGUGAUGACGGCCUUCGGGUUGUAAAACUCUGUGAUCCGGGACGAAAAGGCAGAGUGCGAAGAACAAACUGCAUUGACGGUACCGGAAAAGCAAGCCACGGCUAACUACGUGCCAGCAGCCGCGGUAAUACGUAGGUGGCAAGCGUUGUCCGGAAUUAUUGGGCGUAAAGCGCGCGCAGGCGGCUUCCCAAGUCCCUCUUAAAAGUGCGGGGCUUAACCCCGUGAUGGGAAGGAAACUGGGAAGCUGGAGUAUCGGAGAGGAAAGUGGAAUUCCUAGUGUAGCGGUGAAAUGCGUAGAGAUUAGGAAGAACACCGGUGGCGAAGGCGACUUUCUGGACGAAAACUGACGCUGAGGCGCGAAAGCGUGGGGAGCAAACAGGAUUAGAUACCCUGGUAGUCCACGCCGUAAACGAUGGAUACUAGGUGUAGGAGGUAUCGACCCCUCCUGUGCCGGAGUUAACGCAAUAAGUAUCCCGCCUGGGA